UUUUUCUCACAAGGUCUGUGAUUUGAUUUUGGGACACGUUAUUUCUGUUCAUCUUAUCCAUCUCCGUUCUUCAUGUUGUUCUGGUAGCAACGACGAUAACCAUGUUAUUAUUAACAGUAAUGAAACAAUAGAAUCAACAAUAGCAUCACUGACUAUUUGGUUCACUUUUCUCUUUUAUUGUUGUUCAAAAGUUACAAACUAAGACAACGCCGAAGAGAGGGAGAUGAUGAUAAUAAAUUCGCAAGAGGGAUUGAGUUAAGGAUUUUGUUAACCCACAAAAGGUCAAACAUGGACAUGUAUAGCUUUGGUGGUGGGUUGCCAAAACGCUGAACAGAGACUUAUGGACUAAGUGUUGGGAGAAAGCAGAGUUUCUGUAUCACCAUGGACUUCUGUGACUCUAUUGUGAGUUAAUUAACCCAUAUUCUCAUUUUCGUUGCAUUCAAUGUGAAUGAGGCUUGGGGUACAAAUCCCACUAGUGGAGAACAAGGUUGCAGUUGUGAGACUCCCACAAACUUGGUUCUUGUAUCCAGCUCUUGGUUAUUUUAUUUGUGUGUAUGAUAUUGGUGGUACCUUGGGAGCUCCUAUCUCCAUGCUGGUUGCUUCUCAUAGAAGUUCAGGGUAAAGCAACAUUAUAGCAAAACAAGGAGAUAACCAUUGCAGGACUAAGCUAACUGAGAGGUCGAUCGCCUGGUGAUAAAGUUGAAAAAGCGGGGAUCUAACAACCACACCCAAUAUUUCGCUUAGCAAUCUGUAUGGACAAACUCUAAUAUAUUUUCUAGAGAAUCAACUAGACAGUCAGACUUAAUCUAGAUAAAAGUAUAUCAAAGAGUUUAUAUCUCGA